GACGAACGUUGGCGGCGUGCUUAAUACAUGCAAGUCAACUGAAGCACCGGUAGUAAUACUGGUGUGGAGGUGGCGCACGGGUGAGUAACACGUAGGUAAUCUGCCUUCAGGUCUGACAUAACCCCGAGAAAUCGGGGCUAAUAGCAGAUGAUGCAGCGGCUUGACAUCAAGACAGUUGUUAAAGCUUCGGCGCCUGAAGAUGAGCCUGCGUCUGAUUAGCUAGUUGGCGGAGUAAUGGCCCACCAAGGCUACGAUCAGUAACUGGUCUGAGAGGAUGAUCAGUCACACUGGAACUGAGACACGGUCCAGACUCCUACGGGAGGCAGCAGUAAGGAAUAUUGCUCAAUGGGAGAAAUCCUGAAGCAGCAACGCCG
rnacentral:rRNA from 1 species